CUUUUCACUCCACGCUGCAACCUGUAGGAAGGCACGCAGUGCGCGAGUUAUCUUUUCUUGGAAACGUACAGGUGAGCCAAAGGCCGAGAAAGCGAUGCAAGGAAAGCACCUGUUAAUGUACUUUGUGCUCGUAGUGGACGCCGCCUCAAGAAAUACGCGUUACUUUUCAUGUCAAGGACGGGAAAUGCAGUGCCCGAAUGACCGGAGACCUAACUGCCUCCUAAAAAAUGGGCAACCAUACUUCCAGUGUUCCUUGAAGAAUAGACCGUGUGAAGAUGCGUGGUAUAGAGCAUGCGCACAAUUUACUGUCUUCAUUUGUGGCGAUCGGCGAACAUACUGUGAGUGCCGCUGCGAGGUUUCGCCCAAGAAGAGUGUCCAUGGUAAACCAAAAAAUGCUCGCCUUCAACAACGUUUAUGAUAUCGAAGAAACUUAUGUCUCCUCAGCUAUUUCGUGGUGCCCCCUGUGCAUGCUGUUCAGGAGUUCCAUAAGGGCUUCUGCUUGUUUCAUCGAGCAAUAAAGGUCUGUUUACCGUCA